AUUGAACGCUGGCGGCAGGCCUAACACAUGCAAGUCGAACGAGUGGCGGACGGGUGAGAAAUGUCUGGGACACUGCCUGAUGGAGGGGGAUAACUACUGGCAACGGUAGCUAAUACCGCAUACCCUCGGAUGUGCCCAGAUUGGAGUAGCUAGUAGGUGGGGGAAAGGCUCACCUAGGCGACGAUCCCUAGCUGGUCUGCGAGGAUGACCGGCCACACUGGAACGGAGACACGGUCCAGACUCCUACGGGAGGCAGCAGUGGGGAAUAUUGCACAAUGGGCGCAAGCCUGAUGCAGCCAUGCCGCGUGUAUGAAGAAGGCCUUCGGGUUGUAAAGUACUUUCAGCGGGGAGGCGUUACCCGCAGAAGAAGCACCGGCUAACUCCGUGCCAGCAGCCGCGGUAAUAC
rnacentral:rRNA from 1 species